UUUACCUGGGAACUACGAGCCCUAGCUUAAAACCCAAAGGACUUGGCGGUGCUUAAGACCCCCCUAGAGGAGCCUGUUCUAUAAUCGAUAACCCCCGUUAAACCCUACCCUUAAUUGCUAAGCCUGCCUAUAUACCGCCGUCGUCAGCUUACCCUAUGAAGGCUAUUACAGUAAACAUAAUUGGUAAAACCCAAAACGUCAGGUCAAGGUGUAGCGCAUGUAAGGGAAAGAAAUGGGCUACAUUUACUGAUACAGUAAACACGAAUAAUACUUUGAAAUAAGUAACUGAAGGAGGAUUUAGCAGUAAGGAAAAAAUAGAGUGUUUUCCUGAAACUGGCCCUUAAGCGCGCACACACCGCCCGUCACUCUCCCCAACAUAAUAAUAUAAUUAUAUAAAAAAUUCUAUAAACAAGGGGAGGCAAGUCGUAACAUGGUAAGGGUACUGGAAAGUGCACUUGGAAAAAC
rnacentral:rRNA from 1 species